AAUAGUUUUUUAAAUGGAAACUGGGAUGAAUGAAGUGAUGAGAUUUAUACUGUCUUAAAUUAAAUAAUUAAAUUUAUUAAGUAAGUUAAAAUACUUAAAUAUAAAUAUGGGACGAGAAGACCCUAUAGAAUUUUAUAUAAAUUUGUUUAAUUGAUUGUAAAAAAAAUGAGAACAAAUUUAUAUUUUAUUGGGAGGAUAGUUAAAUUAAAAAAACUUUAUUUUUAAUUAAAUCAUUAAUAUAUGGGGAUAAAUAAAUGAAUGGUUAGUAAAUUUAAAAAGAAUUAAUUACCUUAGGGAUAACAGCGUUAUACUUUUAGAAAGAUCAUAUUGAUAAAGGUGAUUGC
rnacentral:rRNA from 1 species